rnacentral:tRNA from 3 species
CGCGGGAUAGAGCAGUUGGCAGCUCGCGAGGUUCAUUCCCUCGAGGUCGGCGGUUCGAGUCCGCCUCCCGCUA